rnacentral:lncRNA from 1 species
AAGUCAUCAUGCAAGGCAACCAUGAAAGCUUGCCCUUCUAUAUCAAAUCGACGUCGAGGAACUCUUCCACGGUCACUUCUCCGCACUUCAGUCUCUUGUAAUUCUUCUCUUGAACAAUCAUUAACCGAGGUUUCUCUCACACUAAGUUGAGAUAGUUCACGAGAACUUUCACCAACUUCCACAGAUUGGUUAGUAGAAAAAAAAACAUUAGUUGGAUCAACCAUCUCUUCAAGACGAGAAUCCCUUUCACCCUCUCUCCCCUUUGAGGAAAAUCACUUUCCAAAAAUGUCACAUCUCA